GUCUAUGGGCAGACCUCUCUGAACGUGCCAGAUCUCCUUUAAUCUCCAGAGAUAAUCAUGAUCAGGCCUAGUUAGUACUUGGAUGGGAGACCAUCUCUUUUUUUGAGACAAAGUCUCAGUGGAAA
rnacentral:rRNA from 1 species